AGUUCCACCUGUACCGGGGUCAGAUGGAAGCCUUGAGGUCAAGCAUCCAGAGUCAUCUCUUCCCACUGAGCAGGCAUUGCACCUCAUUCCAGCCAUCCUGGACUCUCCAGUGGUCUCAGUCUGACUGCUGAAGAUGGCCAUGUGUUUUAGAGCGACUGUUUCUUUCUUCACCUGAACAUUGUCAGAGGCACCAGGAAGGAUCAGUGCUGCAGGAGACCACAGUGUCCUCUCUGCCUCCACAGAUGACCAUCUUACUGACACUUUCUUGCACCAGUUUGAGGCCCCUACUUCGGAUCAACUCAUUAUCCCGAAUAAACGAUGUGUCAUUCCCAUUAUUUAUGUUUCACUGCAGCCAAAGUAUCUGGACCUCGUUUUGCUUCUCUGGUGGGGUAGAUUAACUGAAUCAACUACCCAGGUGAAAGAAUAAAGCUUGAAAGCAGAACUGAGACCCAUAUAUUCACCUGAAAAGGCCAACAGCUUUACUCAGUAAAAAUAAAUGAAAAGUCAGGACUUUUGACAGCUUUCCUAAAUUUCAAGGAGAGGUGUCCUGGUUUGGAUGAGUCCCUCAGAGGCCAGUGUGUGCUCAGUGCCAUUGCCACAGAGAGGUGCAGCAGCAUGGUGACAGUGAGGAGGAGAAGACCCAAGGAUGGAGAACCUCAGGUGUGAUCACAAAACAAUUUCCAAAGGCAGAGUUACAGGUGACCAAAAAAUCACAGUGUGACAAGACUAUGCACCAGACCCCACAACCUGAAUUACUGCUCCACAGAAAUCCUACACCUCCUUGGGAAGAGGUGAUUCUGCCUCAGGGGUUUUAUGCUUUCCAGGUACAGGCUGGCUGAAGAGCUCCACUGCAAGCAGCUCUAGCCCAGAGAGUGGCAAAGUCCUGUGGUGUUAUCAUGGACCAGCUACUGGAGGGUAGGAUGCCUGCACCAACACAUGUAGGCACAAACACAACAGGUGGGUGUGGUGUACGCAUGAGUGCACGUGUGCCCAUGUGUGUUUUUCACCUUCUUACUCAGCACACUUUGACCUUCUGCACCAAAGUGAAACUCCCCUCUGCAGGAUUUAUGUCAAAACCACCACAUCGUCAUCACCUGCCAGGGCUCUGGCUCAGACAAAAGGGCCAUGUCCCCUUUCCUCUUUUUACUUCUGAGUUCCCUCUCUAUCCCAAGAUAAACAGAAGGAGCCAUACACAGCACAGUGGUAACCCAGAUGACACUGUCAGAUCUGCAUUCAUUCCAUGGGUGUUACUAAAGGAGAAGAUGUUGUUAUUAAACACUGGGAAAGAGUGACCAAAAAUGGCAAAAAACAAGGGAAACCACAGCGGAAACAGAAAAACCACUAAUGUAACAAAAACAGUUUAUGAAAAACCUGUAUCAGGUUAAGGGCAAAUCCAAGCCAAAACCUUAGACAUAUCUCAGAAACUUGUAGGGGUCAGUUUAUCAUCUCUGAGCAUGGUUUUCAAUGAAAAACCUUACUGUCAUGGUGUGUCUUGGUGUAGGGAAUCACAACCUCACAAGCUCCAAAGCUGGAGCAUAGACCUGGGUCUCUAGGGUAGAAACCAGAUUAAAAAAUUUUACAAAAGGAAAAUGAAGGACUCUCAUACAUGUCAAAGCAUGUUGGGUUUACAUGUCAUAAUCAUGCUAUACUGGUAUAAAUGCAAUCAGGAAAUCAUUGGGUUAUCAACAGAAAAUAACCCUUAAUGAUAGGGGCAGUGAGGGGAAGGUCACAUGAGAUCAUCAGGCCAUCUUCAUUAGAGAAAUCGAAAAUUAUUGCUGAUGACAUGUAAGGGAAAGUUGUGUGGAGGAAGCUCUUUCACGGUAUAGAGAUUGGACCAAGAUGGUGUCCGUGGGUUUGUGUGGUCAAAGGCAAAACUUCAUGAGCAAUAUUAAUUGGGGCUUUAUUUAACUGAAGUUCAAGACCCACAGGUGCUGGCUCUGUGGCUUGCCACUGAGAGCAUGGCCUUGUGUUUUCAAGUUUCCUCUAAUGGUCUCCAUCUCCUCUGAGAAGAGGUUUUAUCAAGGGGACAGAACUGUACCUCUUUCCUUCACAUGGAGCAUCUCUGCAUUUGAAGAAGCUUGUCCUGCUGGUGCUCUUCCUCAGUUCUGUACAGCCACAGAUUACAAAGCAAACAUCCCACAGUCUAACCUGGUAUGUGAGUGGCAAAAUUUCACUAUAUGCUGUUAAUUCUUCCAUCCCUCUGCUUCUCUUUGGCUUUCCUCCCGCAGAGCCUCUGGGGAGGAUCCCUCCUUCCAGCAACAGGGAAAGCAGGGACAGGAGAUGCUCAGGGAGGAGGCUGAUCUGACCUCAAUUUCUGCAGCAGCACAGCCAAGAGAGUUUUAUGGAAGGGUUAGAAGUACCCUUGGUUUGCACAGCAGUGAUGAAUAUCACUAAAUGCAGUGGGGAACAUGAUGGGAAUUAGGAGAAAUUAAAAGACGUAGCAGUCCAAAUUGAAAGAGGAAACCAGCCAGUGAAGGAAUGACUGUAUGUCUGCUUGGAGGGUUGCCUAUCUCACACACAUUCUGCACUGCCCUGUAGUCUUUUCAGUAAAUUCACAUUGACUCAGGAGCAGCAGGGUUGGGAGUUUUUCAGACUUUCCCUAAACGUUUAUGGGACAAUGUGGUAAACAUUCCCCUGCCUUGUCAGAUCAUAAUGACAGGUGUGCAACUUCACUAGGCUGAGGGGUCAUUUUCAAAACAAUAAUGUGUUGAACUUCUCACAUCUUCUAGAUGUGGAUAAGAGGGAGAAGCUGUGGUGAUUUAAACUCCCAGAACUACUUCACUAUACAGUUGUGGCUCCCUGUGCUCCCGUUUCUUCUCGCAACAGUGUCAGCAACCUUCUGAUAGCAUGUGUGGGUGUAGAAGUUUUCCUGAGAUCCCAGAACUGAAAGGCUCUUACCUGUAUCUUUGUUUUCCUUC